rnacentral:rRNA from 1 species
AGGAGAGUUUGAUCCUGGCUCAGGAUGAACGCUAGCGGCAGGCUUAACACAUGCAAGUCGAGGGGCAGCGCGAGGUAGCAAUACUUUGGCGGCGACCGGCGGAAGGGUGCGUAACGCGUGAGCAACUUGCCCGUAUCUGGGACAUAACCGGUGGAAACGCCGACUAAUUUCCCAUAACAACAGAAGCGACAUCGCUUUUGUUUGAAAGCUUCGGUGGAUACGGAUGGGCUCGCGUGACAUUAGCUAGUUGGAGUGGUAACGGCACACCAAGGCGACGAUGUCUAGGGGUUCUGAGAGGAAGGUCCCCCACACUGGAACUGAGACACGGUCCAGACUCCUACGGGAGGCAGCAGUGAGGAAUAUUGGUCAAUGGGCGGAAGCCUGAACCAGCCAUGCCGCGUGCAGGAAUAAGGCCCUAUGGGUCGUAAACUGCUUUUGACGGGGAGCAAUAAGGGCUACGUGUAGCCCGAUGAGAGUACUCGUCGAAUAAGCAUCGGCUAACUCCGUGCCAGCAGCCGCGGUAAUACGGAGGAUGCGAGCGUUAUCCGGAUUUAUUGGGUUUAAAGGGUGCGUAGGCUGUUUGUCAAGUCAGGGGUGAAAUGCUGCGGCUUAACCGUAGAAUUGCCUUUGAUACUGGCAGGCUUGAAUACUGUUGCCGUGGGAGGAAUGAGUAGUGUAGCGGUGAAAUGCAUAGAUAUUACUCAGAACACCGAUUGCGAAGGCAUCUCACGAAACAGCGAUUGACGCUGAGGCACGAAAGCGUGGGGAUCAAACAGGAUUAGAUACCCUGGUAGUCCCCU